rnacentral:rRNA from 1 species
GUAGGUGGCAAGCGUUGUCCGGAAUUAUUGGGCGUAAAGCGCGCGCAGGCGGUUCUUUAAGUCUGAUGUGAAAGCCCGCGGCUCAACCGUGGAGGGUCAUUGGAAACUGGAGAACUUGAGUACAGAAGAGGAAAGCGGAAUUCCACGUGUAGCGGUGAAAUGCGUAGAGAUGUGGAGGAACACCAGUGGCGAAGGCGGCUUUCUGGUCUGUAACUGACGCUGAGGCGCGAAAGCGUGGGGAGCAAACAGGAUUAGAUACCCUGGUAGUCCACGCCUUAAACGAUGAGUGCUAAGUGUUAGGGGGGUUUCCGCCCCCCUUAGUGCUGCAGCUAACGCAUUAAGCACUCCGCCUGGGAGUACGGCCGCAAGGCUG